AGCAGUAGCCGCGGGAAAACGGAGGGUGCAAGCGUUAAUCGGAAUUACUGGGCGUAAAGCGCACGCAGGCGGUCUGUCAAGUCGGAUGUGAAAUCCCCGGGCUCAACCUGGGAACUGCAUUCGAAACUGGCAGGCUAGAGUCUUGUAGAGGGGGGUAGAAUUCCAGGUGUAGCGGUGAAAUGCGUAGAGAUCUGGAGGAAUACCGGUGGCGAAGGCGGCCCCCUGGACAAAGACUGACGCUCAGGUGCGAAAGCGUGGGGAGCAAACAGGAUUAGAUACCCGUGUAGUCCCUGUCUCUUAUAC
rnacentral:rRNA from 1 species